rnacentral:lncRNA from 1 species
UGGGCUUGGAGCAACGACGAUCGAUUAAGAAACCUAUGAUUUUUGGCCUACUUGAUUGAGGAAUUACUAUUAAUGAAAAAAAAUGGCAUCAUUGUUAGGAAACAACACGGUAAAAAGGGACUCGAACGAAGCAUUUUCCCUAUCGAUUGACUGAUUGAAUUGCACAGAGUUGUGUUACCGGCCUACUUUUUUCUCUAAAUAAAUAAUAUAAACAACAACUAUUUGAAGUUUAGUAAACC